rnacentral:rRNA from 1 species
UAAGGAAUAUUGCGCAAUGGGCGACAGCCUGACGCAGCGACGCCGCGUGGGGGAUGAAGGUCUUCGGAUUGUAAACCCCUUUCGGGAGGGAAGAGGGAAUGGGGUAACCCAUUCGGACGGUACCUCCAGAAGCAGCCACGGCUAACUUCGUGCCAGCAGCCGCGGUAAUACGAAGGUGGCAAGCGUUGUUCGGAUUCACUGGGCGUACAGGGAGCGUAGGCGGUUGGGUAAGCCCUCCGUGAAAUCUCCGGGCCUAACCCGGAAAGUGCAGAGGGGACUGCUCGGCUUGAGGACGGGAGAGGAGCGCGGAAUUCCCGGUGUAGCGGUGAAAUGCGUAGAGAUCGGGAGGAAGGCCGGUGGCGAAGGCGGCGCUCUGGAACGUUUCUGACGCUGAGGCUCGAAAGCGUGGGGAGCAAACAGGAUUAGAUACCCUGGUAGUCCACGCCUUAAACUAUGGAUACUAAGUGUCGGCGGGUUACCGCCGGUGCCGCAGCUAACGCAUUAAGUAUCCCGCCUGGGAAGUACGGCCG